GACGAACGCUGGCGGCGUGCCUAAUACAUGCAAGUUGAGCGCUGAAGGUUGGUACUUGUACCAACUGGAUGAGCAGCGAACGGGUGAGUAACGCGUGGGGAAUCUGCCUUUGAGCGGGGGACAACAUUUGGAAACGAAUGCUAAUACCGCAUAAAAACUUUAAACACAAGUUUUAAGUUUGAAAGAUGCAAUUGCAUCACUCAAAGAUGAUCCCGCGUUGUAUUAGCUAGUUGGUGAGGUAAAGGCUCACCAAGGCGAUGAUACAUAGCCGACGUGAGAGGGUGAUCGGCCACAUUGGGACUGAGACACGGCCCAAACCCCUACGGGAGGCAGCAGUAGGGAAUCUUCGGCAAUGGACGAAAGUCUGACCGAGCAACGCCGCGUGAGUGAAGAAGGUUGUCGGAUCGUAAAACUCGGUUGGUAGAGAAGAACGUUGGUGAGAGUGGAAAGCUCAUCAAGUGACGGUAACUACACAGAAAGGGACGGCUAACUACGUG
rnacentral:rRNA from 1 species